rnacentral:snRNA from 1 species
GUCCAUUCGGGCACAUCCCGUAAAAUUAGAAAUAUAUAAAGUAGAUUAGCAUGACCUAUGUAUAAGAUUAGCAUGACCUAUGUACAUUUGCAGCAUAUAUAA